rnacentral:rRNA from 1 species
UGAGGAAUAUUGGUCAAUGGGCGAGAGCCUGAACCAGCCAAGUAGCGUGCAGGAUGACGGCCCUAUGGGUUGUAAACUGCUUUUAUAUGGGAAUAAAGUGAGGGACGUGUCCCUUAUUGCAUGUACCAUACGAAUAAGGACCGGCUAAUUCCGUGCCAGCAGCCGCGGUAAUACGGAAGGUCCAGGCGUUAUCCGGAUUUAUUGGGUUUAAAGGGAGCGUAGGCUGUUUGUUAAGCGUGUUGUGAAAUGUAAGAGCUCAACUUUUAGAUUGCAGCGCGAACUGGCAGACUUGAGUGCGCACAACGUAGGCGGAAUUCAUGGUGUAGCGGUGAAAUGCUUAGAUAUCAUGACGAACUCCGAUUGCGAAGGCAGCUUACGGGAGUGUUACUGACGCUUAAGCUCGAAGGUGCGGGUAUCGAACAGG